AUGGCCGCACCUGCGGCAUAUGGAAGUUCCCAGGCUAGGAGGCGAUUCAAAGCUGUAGCUGCAGGUCUCUGCCACACCAUAGCAAUGCUAGAUCCAAGCCACAUCUCAGACCUACAAAGCAGCUUGUGGCAAGGUCGGAUCCUAACCCUCUGAGAAAGUCCAGAGCUAGAACCUGCAUCCUCAGGGAGACAGCAUCGGGUCCUUAACCCACUGAGCCACAACGGGAACUCCUAAGCACUUAUUUAAUGAGCAGAGAUUGUUUUCAAGAGAGACUAUCAAUAAGGAGUGAUGGGAGACAAAGAGUGCAUCUGACCAGCAUGUUUAAAACACAGGGAGAAGAUUGUUUAUAUUUAACAGAAAUGAGGGAUAUGCAAAACCAAUAUCAAUAAAUCCCCUUUUUUGUAGCUAGGAGGAAGCUAUUACUUAUUGAUUGAGGCAAUAGUUUAUUAUUUCAUUUAUUAAAUUUAUUUAUUAGCUAUCAUCACGUUCACAUACUAUCAGUUAAUAUUAGUCACACUGAAAUGUUUGUAGGACUUGAUCAACCCAUAUCAAAUUAAGGAGUAAUUAAGGGGUUGCUUGGAAAAUGGGAUCAUCAGUUCUCCAUCUCAAUAGUGAGCAGAAAAUAAAUCCACUUUCCCUAAAAGAAAUCACGUUAUUACUAAGGGCAAUUUACUAUCUAUGAUGCACCUCCCCUUAAAGGAGAUUAUAUUAUAAUCUUAAAUUUUACAAUAUUCUUCAUACAUUAGGUCUCAGACAAGAGGGCUCAAGUUGUAAUUAAGAAGAAAUAUCUAACUUUCCAAAAUUCAAUGCAGUCUCCUCAGGGAAGGCAGAAUUGGUUUUUCUUCAUACCAACAGUCUGACCCACCUGUUCCUUUUAGUGUUCAUUUCCAGAUAGUUUCUGACGGCAGGGUUAGUGGGGCCAUAUUUCUGCAUUCUUUGCUCUAACAGAGAGCAUUAUUGAUGGCAGUGGGGCCAGAGUUAAAAUCCUGUUAGAAUGGUGAGCUACUUUCAUAAAGGGUUCAGUGGUUGGGGGGUAUAAAAGCAAGAGAUACAUUUAAACAAUAUUUUAAUCCCAGGGGAUUGAUGGUCCUUCUUGACAAAUGUGAAAAUGUCUGAAAAUCAUUAAUGAGAUAGAACAGUUGAAGAUUAGGUGUCCUUGGUAUGAGAAACUCCUGAUCUGGCUAGUCCAGUUGAUAAAGACUUUUUCCCACAGACUUCUGAAAAAUAUCAUAACCCAAUUCACUCAUCCCAAGAUUCACUGAAACCCUGACUUAUUUAUAUCAUGGAUAUUUCCACUAGAACUUUAAAGUUAACUCUUGACCUUGUCAAGAAUAUAAUAAUUUCUCUAUAAACCAGGAAAAGAAACCACCGAUGCCACUAAAAUUGAAUUUGCUCUCAAAUUAGUUGUGAUAAAGCAAUACCAAAGUUCUUUAUACAAAGUAAGGUGCACCUGGUGUUGAAUGUUAGCUUAAUGUUGUUAUUAUUAUUAUUAUUAACAUUAUAGCAUUAAAACUACACCAAUUGGUUUAUUACUUAUUAGUUUAUUACUAAAGUUGUAUAUGCAUUGUUUUUACUGUUUAUCCAGCACUUUGAUAUUAGUUAAUUCACUUAAUGCUCACAUCAACAUUGUAGGAUCAAAGCUAUUCCCAUUAUGCAGUUAAAGCUAUACUGGCUCCAACUGUUACUAAUCUUGUUUGGAGUUACAGAGGCAACCAAGUGACAGAGUCAAUCCUGAAACCUAGGUCUUCCAAUUCCAAUUUCAGCAUCUUUUCUGCUAUACCAUGAAUUCCUCCCAUAACAUGAGUUUCUCCCUACCUUAAUCUCUUAUAAAACUCUAAUUUAUAGGGAAAAUUCCAACUGAGGAUGAAGAACAAGCAUCACACCAAGUACACCCACCCCCACUACCUCCUCCCAUUUCUUCUCCUCCUCAACAGCAACGACAGCCAAGUUGUCCCUCAAUAGUCAGAAGAAACAAGGAAAUUAAAGAAGGAGAUACUUUGAAAUAAAGAAAAUACAGAUAAUAGGUCUCACAUAUAUUUUAAAUGCCAUAAAUGAAACAAAUUUAAUGAAUCAGGAAACUGAAAAUACACGAAAAGAGUAAAACCACCUCAGUGCCCCUUUUUUCUGGCUAUUGUGUCUCAUGAUGGCUCUGCCUGAGGCUGCUGCUUCAUUCAAAUCCAAGAAAAGGACAAGCUAAAUGCUUUGAUUUUUAAAAAAUAUACUUAUGUGUACAAAACAAUAAAUAUUUACGCAAAAUUUAAAAAUUAAUCAAAAUAGUCUUUAAGAAGUAGCUUUGAAUGCCUCAGAAUUUUUUUUCCUUAGGACAUUUUUUUCCUUCUGUGAAGGCUAAUAGCAUUUUCAUAAUAUAUCAAUAUAUUUUUAGUUUUGACAUUUAUUUUCAUAUUUUAUAAAUCAUCCUAGAGUUAAAUGAUCUGCAGAUUUUUGGCUCUCUGUGGGGAGCCUCCCCACUCAAAGCCUGGCAAAUAAAGUGUAAAAAUCUUAGUAUUAUUAUAUAUCUCAAAUCGUACACACCAUUUGCAAAAAUUUUGACCUUUACAUUUUACUGACCUUUACAGUUGCAACCUACUAUAGAUAUUAAGAACAAAUUAACCAUUUUCGUAUCCCUAACCCCAACCCUCUGCCACUUACAAAGUAUGUGAUCAGAGGCAACCUCUUUAACAUAUCUGUGCAUCAGCUGUUCUCCAUAAUCAUACUAACAUCUUCACUGACCCAUUAUAAGGAUUAAAUAUAUUAUUUUAUAAAAAGCAUGUAAAAUAAUACCUGGCACUAACUACUUAACAACUUAAUUAUUAACGUCAUCAUCAUUCUCAUCAUCAUCAUCAUUAUUAUUAUUAAAGACGAAGAAACUCUCAAGGAGCAGAGAAGUUGAAAGUACUUGUUCAUGCAACAUAAUUGGUAGGGAGAGGUAUGUGAAUUUAAAUCCACACCAACACUUCAUGAAACAAUUAAGCAGUAGAUACAAAAGAAAGGUAUUGCUGAGAUUUUUCUUUCAAAAAUUUAAAGGUUAUAUAAGAAAAAAAUCACCUAUUAACUCUGCAUUUAUGAGUCUGAUUUAUUACAAGGCACUUAUACUUUAAAAUAAGCUUUAUGUUUUUAAGCCCUUAACCCUUAUAAAAUGAUUUUUUAUAUUUCCUAUUAAUUCAAUUUUAUUUUAAAAAUAAACUUAAGUCAAAGAGUAAAAUUAAUUUUUAAGUUAGCAAAGCAAAAUACAGUCACACUAAGAUGCUUCUUUCCUGUAUGUUCACUCAUUGCUCAAUGUCUAACUAAUGUUUAAAUGCACAUAAUGCUCCAGCCUGUCAAAACCUCAGUACUAUUCCCUAAAUGAGAAUAAAUAACUCACUAACCUUGAGCUAUAUAGUUUUGAUUGAAAAUAUUCUGAUUAAUCUAUCCUUGUACACAUUUUUCUUUUCAGUCUCUGAAACCACUCUGCACCAAGAACAUAAAAUCAUUUUCAUUCAUCAAAUAAUAAUUAUGCUGAUGUCCUCUAUACACUACCUCUUCUCCUCCUCGGGGAGAUUGGUUUAUGUUAAAACAUGAAUAAAUUUUUCUAAUACUGCUCAGAAAGGAAAUAGUGUUGAUAUGUUUAUAGAAGUAGGGAAAAUGGAAAUAAAGAUAAUAAAAGUUUACCUGGAAAUGAAGACCAAAUUUGUUAACAAAUACCAAAUUUCUGACUUUUUUUUUUUUUUUGGUCUUUUUUAGGGCUGCACCUGUGGCAUAU
rnacentral:lncRNA from 1 species